UUGCCUAAGAAAAUUAUUUCCCUGGAAGAACAUAAUCCAUUUCCCACAGUGUUCAGGCUAGAAAAUUUUUCCACCAUGAGUUCCUUAAUAUUUGAGUCCCAAGAGAGACUGCGAAAGGAAAAGUCUGAGAAACUGGAUAUUUAUCACCCCUUUGGAGAUUCCCAAUGCUUCCUAAUGUAGUGAAAGCUCAGAAAAGACUUGCAGAAUGAAGUGGCUUUAACUCAAUUUAACCUAGCAUCUCCCAAGCUUAUUUGAACAUGGGACACUUUAAAAAAUGUAACCCCAUCCUGUGAAACCGGUGCCUGGUGGAAACUUUGAGGGACACAAGGAACUAUUACAUGCCCUGAGAUACAGAAGCACGCAAGACCAACAAGAUCCAUGAGCUUACAUUUGAAGGCAAAGAAAGCUGGAAAAUCUUAUGAAAUCAAUACCAGGAGGAAGGAGAAGACCUGUGAUCUGUUUCUUUCCCUUUAUGAGGAGAUGGUGUACAUGCCCAAGAAGGAGAGAAGAUAGGAGGCCAGGCACAGUAUCCUUGUGAACAUAUCUCUCCCCUGUGAGAAACCAGCCACCAUGUUGUAAGCAGCCCUGUGGCGAGACCCACAUGAGGAAGACCAGGGCUUGCCAACAUCCUCUGAAUGCACGUGGAAACAGAUCUCUGUCCCUCCCCUCAAGGCCCAGCUGUGCAUCCAAAUGAGAUCACAGCCUUUGUUGACAGCUUGACAGUCUCCUCAUGAGCCAGAGAAAUCAGCUAGUGGAAUGUAAAGAUUGUGGAUGGUCAUCCUUGACCUCGUGGACAAAGGCCAUACCUUAAGGAUGACAAAGAAAAAAGCAUGGAAGGAGCCUGUGUGCCCGACACUAUUGGCCUGCCCCUCAGGACUGGGGACCACCUUGAAUGUUUAGUAAAAUCAGGGAGACAAGGAGAAAAGAAUGAGUGUUAGAAGCAAUUUGCUGGAUGCUUCGACAAAAGCAGCAACAUGAACCCAAUUAAAAAGAAAAAGUAAGCAUAGAAUUUAUUUCUAUUCUAAUAGAUCAAAGCUAACUCCAACUUGAUUUUUUAAAAUAAAAAAUAUGUUGGUAAAGGUGUGUAAAAAUUGAAACCCUUGUUCAUUGCUGGGGAGAACAUAAAAUGAUGCAGUUGCUCUGGGAAACACUAUGGUGUUUCCUCAAAAAUUAAACAUUGAAUUAUUAUAUGAUCCAGCAAUUCCACUCCUGGUUAUACACCUCAAAUAAUUGAAAGCAGGAACUCAAACAGAUAUUUGUGCACCCAUGUUCCUAGCAUCUUUCUUUACAAUUGCCAAGUGGUAGAAAGAACCCAAAUGUCCAUCAACAGAUGAAUGAAUAAACAAAAUGUGGUGAAUACAUACAAUGAGGUAUGAAAAAAAAUGGAAUUUGGAUAUAUGCCACAACCUAAGUGAAACUUGAAGACAUUAUGCCAAGUGAAAAAGCCAGACAUAAAAUAACAAAUAUUCUAUGACUCCAUUUACUUGAGGUAUCUAAGGUAGUCAAAUUCACAGAGACUGAAAAUGAAUGGGGGGUGCCAGGGACUGAAGGGAAUGAGGAUGAAAGGUCAUCCUUUAAUGGGUAUAGAGUUUCAAUUUGGGAUUCUGGAGAGAUUGGUGGUUAUGGUUGCACAACAAUGUGA
rnacentral:lncRNA from 1 species